rnacentral:misc_RNA from 1 species
UUCCCGUAUGUGGAACGGUGGUUGCUCAUGGGUGGACGCUGACAAACAUUCCUUUUCGUUACUGCCAGCCUCAAUGCUGGUGGGAGAACAAAUUAUAUCGGCAUACUGUUGGGUCCUGAGAGAACACGCGAGUGUUUCCUCGAAGGAAGUAACGACAAUGUUCAGGCGCGGUCAUACCGCAAGAAUUUUUUUCUUGUUGGUGUCUGCUUGGAGCCUGAGUGUUGUGUGUUGUUUGAGAACUGCACAGUGGACGCGAGCAUCUUUGUUGUAAGUAAUGAAGAGCGUACGGUGGAUGCCUUGGCACCAGGAGCCGAUGAAGGACGUAGGAGGCUGCGA